UACUUUAAGAGGAUUUGUCUCGUUAACCCCUCGUGUCCGACACCGGCGUCGGUCACGAGUUAGGGGUGUUACAGGAUCCAGCGGCUGGAAGAGCACCGCACGUCGCGUGGUGUCCUGCGCGCCCCCGGCGGCCCAUGAAAAUUUGGAGGACCGAGUGCCGUCUGCGCCCGGUCGUACUCAUAACCGCAUUAGGUCCCUAAGGUGAACAGCCUCUGAUCAAUGGAACAAUGUAGGCAAGGGAAGUCAGUAAAAUAAAUCCGUAACCUCAGGAAAAGGAUUGGCUUUGAGGGCUGGGCACGGAGGUGCCGGUCCUAAACCCGUCAGCUACCGGUGCACUACUCGAGCUACUUUCACGGCGAGAGCGGGUCGUCGCGUGCUGGACGGAGGACGGACGGCCUUCUCCGGGUGAUGAACAGUCGACUCAGAACUGGUACGGAUAAGGGGAAUUCGAUUGUUUAAUUAAAACAAAGCAUUGAGAUGGUCCCUGCGGAUGCUCACGCAAUUUGAUUUCUGCCCAAUGCUCUGAAUGUCAAAGUGAAAAAAUUCAACCAAGCGCGGGUAAACAGCGAGAGUAACUAUGACUCUCUUAAGGUAGCCAAGUGCCUCAUCAUCUAAUUAGUGACGCGCAUGAAUGGGUUAAUGAGAUUCCCACUGUCCCUGUCUACUAUCCAGUGAAACCACAGCCAAGGGAACGGGCUUGGCAGAAUUAGCGGGGUAAGAAGACCCUGUUGAGCUUGACUCUAGUCCGACUUUAUGAAAUGACUUGAGAGGUGUAGGAUAAGUGGGAGCUCUCGGGCGAAACUGAAAUACCACUACUUUUAACGUUAUUUUACUUAUUUUGUGAAUCGGAGGUGGGGGACGGCCCCUCUUUUUGGACCUAAAGUCUGCUUCGGUCGGCCGAUCCGGGCCAAAGAAAUUGUCAGGCGGGGAGUUUGGCUGGAGCGGCACAUCUGUUAAAAGAUAACAACAAGAAUAGAAAUCUCGUGUGGAACAAAAGGGUGAAAGCUCGUUUGAUUCUGAUUUUCAAGCUAGAGGAGUCAGAAAGUUACCACAGGGAUAACUGGCUUGUGGCAGCCAAGCGUUCAUAGCGACGAUGCUUUCUGAUCCUUCGAUGUCGGCUCUUCCUACCAUUGUGAAGCAGAAUUCACCAAGUGUUGGAUUGUUCACCCACCAAUAGGGAACGUGAGAUGGGUUUAGACCAUCGUGAGACAGGUUAAUUUUACCCUAUUGAUGGCCGUGUCGCAAUAGUAAUUCAACCUAGUACGAGAGAAACCGUUGAUUCGCACAAUUGGUCAUUGCGCUUGGUUGAAAAGCCAGUGGCGCGAAGCUACUAUGCGCUGGAUUAUGACUGAAUGCCUCUAAGUCAGAAUCUGGGCUAGAAGCGACGCACGCGUCCGUCGCCAGAUUACCGACCUGUAGUAGGGGCCUUUGGCCCCCAAGGGCACGUGUCGUAGUUGCAGCGGCCGCGGUGGACAAGUCGCGGGCUCCUUCUUCGAGCGUAAUUCCCACCAAGCGGCGAGUAGAAUCCUUUGCAGAUGACUUAAAUACGCGACGAGGUAUUGUAAGUGUCAGAGUGGCCUUGUUGCCACGAUCUACUGAGAUUCAGCCUAUUGUCACUUCGAUUUGU
rfam:Gossypium arboreum cultivar AKA8401 contig_22153_1, whole genome shotgun sequence.